CAGAGAGCCAAUCCUCCGUAACUCUUCUUUGAGAGAUAGAGAGAGAGAGAGAGAGAGUGUAUGGAAGUCGAUAAGGUCACGACGGUUCGUUUCUUCCUUGCGUGGUGCCUGCUCGCGACCACGGCGAUUGCUCUGGCCGGCUGUCGCGGAGCGGGAGCCUCUCCGGAAGCCAGCAACGCCACCGUCACUCGGCGGUGCCACGGCGGCGAGUGCCUCAUCGCCUACCGGCAACCGGAGGUGGAGCUGAUGGCGGUGCUGGACCCGGAGCGCACCCUGGGCAGCAUACUGGCCGACGGCAAACCCAUAGACAUCUUGAAAGCGACCGCUAAUCAGUAUGGCCCCGCCCGUUGUGGCCGCUUCGCACCGGGACGCUACACGUCCUGCACUACCAGGAAAGGUCCCAACCCUCGCUACAGCCCUUAUUACCGUAAAGGGUAUUAGGGAUGAUCGAUUUUCGGACGGUCCAACUUUCCACCCAAGAACUGGAAAACCGAACAGAGGGACCGAUUCUCAAUUUCUAAAAACGGGAAUCGGACUGGUGCCCCCUAAAACCGGACUUGAUCGGGCCGACCGGUCCCCGGUGGGCCGAUGGAACCCAUGGCAUAUUUAGUUUUUUUAUUUGUCGUUAAUGUUCAAGAUGCAAUUGAAAAUGUUCUUGAUGAUCAAUGCGUAUCUACAAUCAGUGAGUUACGUGAAACAUUGUAGGUUUCGCAUAGAUUUUUUUCAAUUUGUGGCAAAAUUUAGUUGGAAUGAGCAAUUACUAUUGUGUUUU